GGGGUUGUGGCUCAGGGGUACAGCGCUUACCUAGCAUGUAUGAGGCACUGAGUUCGAGCCUCAGCAUCACAU
rnacentral:tRNA from 1 species